rnacentral:rRNA from 1 species
GUUUGAUCAUGGCUCAGAACGUACGCUGGCGGCACGCCUAACACAUGCAAGUCGAACGCAGUAGCAAUACUGAGUGGCAGACGGGUGAGUAACAUGUGGGAAUCUGCCUUGUGGUUCAGGACAACAUUGGGAAACCGAUGCUAAUACUGGAUAAGCCCUUACGGGGAAAGUUUUAAUGCCAUAAGAUGAGCCCGCAUUUGAUUAGUUAGUUGGUGAGGUAAUGGCUCACCAAGACAAUGAUCAAUAGCUGAUCUGAGAGGAUGAUCAGCCACACUGGGACUGAGACACGGCCCAGACUCCUACGGGAGGCAGCAGUGGGGAAUCUUGCACAAUGGAGGAAACUCUGAUGCAGCGAUGCCGCGUGAGUGAAGAAGGCCUUUGGGUUGUAAAGCUCUUUUGUAGGGGAAGAUAAUGACUGUACCCUAAGAAUAAGGUCCGGCUAACUUCGUGCCAGCAGCCGCGGUAAUACGAAGGGACCUAGCGUAGUUCGGAAUUACUGGGCGUAAAGCGCGCGUAGGCCGUUGAGUUAGUUAAUUGUGAAAUCCCAAAGCUUAACUUUGGAACUGCAAUUAAAACUGCUCGACUAGAGUUUGAUAGAGGAAAGCGGAAUACAUAGUGUAGAGGUGAAAUUCGUAGAUAUUAUGUAGAACACCAGUUGCGAAGGCGGCUUUCUGGAUCAACACUGACGCUGAGGCGCGAAAGUAUGGGUAGCAAAGAGGAUUAGAUACCCUCGUAGUCCAUGCCGUAAACGAUGUGUGUUAGACGUUGGAAAUUUAUUUUCAGUGUCGCAGGGAAACCGAUAAACACACCGCCUGGGGAGUACGACCGCAAGGUUAAAACUCAAAUGAAUUGACGGGGACCCGCACAAGUAGUGGAGCAUGUGGUUUAAUUCGAAGAUACGCGCAGAACCUUACCAACACUUGACAUGUUCGUCGCGACUCUAAGAGAUUAGAGUUUUCGGUUCGGCCGGACGAAACACAGGUGCUGCAUGGCUGUCGUCAGCUCGUGUCGUGAGAUGUUGGGUUAAGUCCCGCAACGAGCGCAACCCUCACUUUUAGUUGCCAUCAUUAAGUUGGGCACUCUGAAAGAACUGCCAGUGAUAAGCUGGAGGAAGGUGGGGAUGACGUCAAGUCCUCAUGGCCCUUACGUGUUGGGCUACACACGUGCUACAAUGGUAUCUACAACAGGAAGCAAAACUGCGAAGUUAAGCAAAUCCCUAAAAGAUACCUCAGUUCGGAUUGCACUCUGCAACUCGAGUGCAUGAAGCUGGAAUUACUAGUAAUCGUGGAUCAGCGUGCCACGGUGAAUGCGUUCCCGGGUCUUGUACACACCGCCCGUCACACCAUGGGAGUUGGUUCUACCUUAAGGCAAGGUUUCAAACCCUUGACCACGGUAUAGUCAGCGACUGGGGUGAAGUCGUAACAAGGUAGCCGU